GAUGAACGCUAGCGGCAGGCUUAACACAUGCAAGUCGAGGGGCAGCAUAAUGGAUAGCAAUAUCUAUGGUGGCGACCGGCGCACGGGUGCGUAACGCGUAUGCAACCUACCUUUAACAGGGGGAUAACACUGAGAAAUUGGUACUAAUACCCCAUAAUAUCAUAGAAGGCAUCUUUUAUGGUUGAAAAUUCCGAUGGUUAGAGAUGGGCAUGCGUUGUAUUAGCUAGUUGGUGGGGUAACGGCUCACCAAGGCGACGAUACAUAGGGGGACUGAGAGGUUAACCCCCCACACUGGUACUGAGACACGGACCAGACUCCUACGGGAGGCAGCAGUGAGGAAUAUUGGUCAAUGGACGCAAGUCUGAACCAGCCAUGCCGCGUGCAGGAUGACGGCUCUAUGAGUUGUAAACUGCUUUUGUACGAGGGUAAACGCAGAUACGUGUAUCUGUCUGAAAG
rnacentral:rRNA from 1 species